GACGAACGCUGGCGGCGUGCUUAACACAUGCAAGUCGAGCGGUAAGGCCCCUUCGGGCGUACACGAGCGGCGCGCGGGUGAGUAACACGUGAGUAAUCUGCCCUCCACUUCGGGAUAAACACCGGAAACGGUGGCUAAUACCGAAUACGACCAGCCUUCGCAUGAGGUGCUGGUGGAAAGUCUUUUCGGUGAAGGAUGUGCUCGCGGCCUAUCAGCUUGUUGGUGGGGUAAUGGCCUACCAAGGCUUCGACGGGUAGCCGGCCUGAGAGGGUGACCGGCUGGACUGGGACUGAGACACGGCCAAGACUCCUACGGGAGGCAGCAGUGGGGAAUAUUGGACAAUGGGCGAAAGCCUGAUCCAGCAACGCCGCGUGAGGGAUGACGGCCUUCGGGUUGUAAGCCUGUUUCAGUACCGACGAAGCGCCCUGUCGGGUGGUGACGGUAGGUACAGAAGAAGGACCGGCCAACUACGUG
rnacentral:rRNA from 1 species